rnacentral:rRNA from 1 species
AGAGUUUGAUUCUGGCUCAGGAUGAACGCUGGCGGCGUGCCUAAUACAUGCAAGUCGAGCGAACCACUUCGGUGGGAAGCGGCGAACGGGUGAGUAACACGUAGGUGAUCUGCCCAUCAGACGGGGACAACGAUUGGAAACGAUCGCUAAUACCGGAUAGGACGAAAGUUUAAAGAUGCUCCUGGCAUCACUGAUGGAUGAGCCUGCGGCGCAUUAGCUAGUUGGUGGGGUAAAGGCCUACCAAGGCGACGAUGCGUAGCCGACCUGAGAGGGUGAACGGCCACACUGGGACUGAGACACGGCCCAGACUCCUACGGGAGGCAGCAGUAGGGAAUCUUCGGCAAUGGGCGAAAGCCUGACCGAGCAACGCCGCGUGAAUGAAGAAGGCCUUCGGGUUGUAAAAUUCUGUUAUAAGGGAAGAAAGGUGAUAGGAGGAAAUGACUAUCAGUUGACGGUACCUUAUGAGAAAGCCACGGCUAACUACGUGCCAGCAGCCGCGGUAAUACGUAGGUGGCAAGCGUUAUCCGGAAUUAUUGGGCGUAAAGAGCGCGCAGGUGGUUAAUUAAAUCUGAUGUGAAAGCCCACGGCU